rnacentral:tRNA from 1 species
UUCGCUUUGGCGCAGAGGUAGCGUGUGGGGCCCAUAUCAUGGACCACCCUAAGGUCGUUGGUUCGAAUCCAACAGGCGAAA